UACGAAGGGAGCUAGCGUUGUUCGGAAUCACUGGGCGUAAAGCGCACGUAGGCGGCUGUGUCAGUCGGGGGUGAAAUCCCGGAGCUCAACUUCGGAACUGCCUUUGAUACAGCACGUCUUGAGUCCGAUAGAGGUGGGUGGAAUUCCUAGUGUAGAGGUGAAAUUCGUAGAUAUUAGGAAGAACACCGGUGGCGAAGGCGGCCCACUGGAUCGGUACUGACGCUGAGGUGCGAAAGCGUGGGGAGCAAACAGG
rnacentral:rRNA from 1 species